AUAGCGUAUAUUAAAGUUGUUGCAGUUAAAAAGCUCGUAGUUGAACCUUGGGCCUGGCUGGCCGGUCCGCCUCACCGCGUGCACUGGUCCGGCCGGGCCUUUCCUUCUGGCUAGCCACAUGCCCUUAAUUGGGUGUGUUGGGGAACCAGGACUUUUACUUUGAAAAAAUUAGAGUGUUCAAAGCAGGCCUAUGCUCGAAUACAUUAGCAUGGAAUAAUAAAAUAGGACGGCAUGGUUCUAUUUUGUUGGUUUCUAGGACCACCGUAAUGAUUAAUAGGGAUAGUUGGGGGCAUUAGUAUUCAAUUGUCAGAGGUGAAAUUCUUGGAUUUAUUGAAGACUAACUACUG
rnacentral:rRNA from 1 species